rnacentral:rRNA from 1 species
CUCCCACCCGUGUUGCCCGAACCUAUGUUGCCUCGGCGGGCCCCGCGCCCGCCGACGGCCCCCCUGAACGCUGUCUGAAGUUGCAGUCUGAGACCUAUAACGAAAUUAGUUAAAACUUUCAACAACGGAUCUCUUGGUUCCGGCAUCGAUGAAGAACGCAGCGAAAUGCGAUAACUAAUGUGAAUUGCAGAAUUCAGUGAAUCAUCGAGUCUUUGAACGCACAUUGCGCCCUCUGGUAUUCCGGAGGGCAUGCCUGUCCGAGCGUCAUUGCUGCCCUCAAGCCCGGCUUGUGUGUUGGGCCCCGUCCCCCCCGCCGGGGGGACGGGCCCGAAAGGCAGCGGCGGCACCGCGUCCGGUCCUCGAGCGUAUGGGGCUUCGUCACCCGCUCUAGUAGGCCCGGCCGGCGCCAGCCGACCCCCAACCUUUAAUUAUCUCAGGUUGACCUCGGAUCAGGUAGGGAUACCCGCUGAACUUAAGCAUAUCAAUAAGCGGGAGGAAGA